rnacentral:rRNA from 1 species
GACGAACGCUGGCGGCAUGCCUAACACAUGCAAGUCGAACGGAGAUUCCUUCGGUAAUCUUAGUGGCGAACGGGUGAGUAACGCGUGGGCAACCUGCCCUCUAGAUGGGGACAACAUCCCGAAAGGGGUGCUAAUACCGAAUGUGACAGCAAUCUCGCAUGAGGAUGCUGUGAAAGAUGGCCUCUAUUUAUAAGCUAUCGCUAGAGGAUGGGCCUGCGUCUGAUUAGCUAGUUGGUGGGGUAACGGCCUACCAAGGCGAUGAUCAGUAGCCGGUCUGAGAGGAUUACAGGCCACAAUUGGACUGAGACACGGCCCAGACUUCUACGGGAGGCAGCAGUGGGGAAUCGUCCGAGAUGGGAGAAAGCCUGACGGAGCUAUGCCGCGUGAGUUAUGAAGGAAUUCGUUCCGUAAAGCUCUUUUGUUUAUGACGAAUGUGCAGAUUGUAAAUAAUAAUCUGUAAUGGCGGUAGUAAAAGAAUAAGCCACGGGUAACUACGUG